UGCAAUGGUGUUGCAUACCCACAAGUCAAAUAAAAACUCCCUAAAUUCUAAAUUAUUUAUUUAUUAUUCAAACUUCCCUAGUAACCCUGCACAACCCCUAAGCACAAAUCAAAUAUCCAGAACAGAAAUGGCCCACAAAUCCUGUUUUGUGCACAAAUAUCUGCAGUGACUGAUUUAAUUGAUAGGUAUCUUCAAUAUUUAUUAGAAAAGUGAUAAAUAAGUGAUGGCUUAAAUAUUUUGGAAAAUAUUUCAAUCAUGGAACAACCAAUUAUAGAUCCGCCCAUACCCCUAGUCGGUCCUAUUGGAGGUAGAUUUAGCCCUGGCAAGGUUAUUCGUAUAAAAGGUGCUGUCCCGUCAAUAGCAAAUAGAUUUGAUAUAAACCUACAAUGCGGUCCACAGACUGCACCGAGAGACGACAUCGUGCUCCAGAUUGCUGUACGAAUACUCGACGGUUUCAUAGCCCUGAAUUCCUUGCAAAACGGGAUAUGGGACGACGAAUUAAAAGGUCACACACAGCCGAUCAAGCGGGCAGAUCACUUCGAGAUGGUCAUCGUGUGCGACUUCAAUAAGUUUAUGGUUUCAAUAAACGAUCAAUUAGUUUGCGAUUAUCCGCAAAGAAUCCAUUAUGAUCGUAUUACGCAUUUAGUGAUCGAGGGUGAGGUGACGGUAGCCGAAAUAUCCGACGGGUCGCAAGCAUCCGGGAAACCUCCCUCGUAUUCGGAGGUUGUAAAUGUGCCUCCCUACCCCCAAGAUUUGUCUGCCACAUCACCACCCACUCAUAAUUCGGCUACAGUGACAGUCACAUCGGAUUCGUCCCCGACUGCACCAGAAUUGAUUCCACUGACUGGUGCAGAACUUAAUGCGCCACUAUCUAAGCCGGUGGAAGAUAUACUUUCGGGAAAUUAUGACUGGAAUUAUUAUCGUUGGACAUUUUGCAAAGUUAACUAAAGCACGGGACAUGAGAAUCGAGUUAGUCGUUAUCACUGUGGUAGAAGUAACGAUAAUAGUUACAUCGCAAUUGGCAUUAUAAAGGAUAAAAAAUCAGAGCCGAUGGGAAGAGUUGGAAUAUUUGUUUUUUUUCUUGUUAACAUCAUUCUGGGCAUUCUUCUACUCACAUGGGUUAUGUUUAAUGCAUAAACUGCUUUCAGAAUUAGGCAAGCGGUUUUUGUUAAUUCCACCUUGGGUAAGCUAUUUUGUUUCAGUUUCAUUUAAAAAAUGAAUUGAAAAUUUUGAAGUCUGAUUGUGAGUCAGAAAAGCUAGCGCGCAGAAUCAUACCUGAUCAGUGAUCACAGUGGCAGUGCGCGUCCGUUAUGCCGCCACUGGUAAAAAAGCCUGCAGUUGGGUGUAAUAUUCACACAACUAAUUUUUUGUACAAUGUUUCUGUAACCUUUUAUUUAUGAGUGAGAAGAAGAAAACACUUCCAUCCUGCCAGAGUUAACUGUGUAGGUAGUCUUAGCAAAACAAAAGUAAAUGCAUUCAUACGAAUUUUAUAAUCGCUAUAUGCUUCUACCUUAUAUAAUAUUGUAAGCAAUAAUGCUUGUGGUAAUAGUAAAAGUACCAUGUUAAUGAAGUCGCGUGUGAUCCAUCACCCAAAACGCUCUUUAACUGACAUCUUUUUAAUACACCAUAAUAAAUAAAUUGAGAACGUGUCACCCGUCACUCAAAGACUAUGAUCUUUGCGUCAUUACAACUGAAAAACGACAUUUUGGUUUGUGAGCCAUGAGAUCCAUACAUUUUGUGCGAUGAGUCAUACACAACUUACUUUUAAUUAAAGUAUAGGUAUCGCUAGCUUACAAUUGACAACCAUUUAUAAUACGCAUUUUUUGCCUUUCAAAUGACAUGCCGAGAUCUUCAGAUUUGAAUGCAACUGACCCUGUUGCUGGUCCUACACAUUACAGUUGCCAUUCGGCUUUGCACGAUCGCCAAGAAGGUUUCUAUUGAAAUGUAAAUGUAUCGGGCUUCUACUUUCAUACGCACAGAUAGCUAACAAUAUGCUUCCUUUAUAUAUGAUAAUGAUAUAAUAACCUCCUCCACCUUUGUUUCAUUCAAUAUCAAAAAUUGAUUUGGUUGCAUUUCAAAAACAUCGCUAUUGCACCUUUCAAUACUUAUCAUUUGACAAUAUUGCAUCUAUUUGCUUUGGACACCAGCAGUUAUCAGUUUUGUUUAGCGUAGGCUUCAAGUUUUUAAUUGCGCUUCAAAAUGCAUCUAUUCCACAACCAGGAGAUCAAUCUCGUUUCGAAUCCCAGUUCGAGACCUAGUGUUCCAUUAUCUGUGGUCUUCCCCGAUCUUGCAUGCCAUUGAUAAAUAUUCUCGCAGUUUACUAUCGCAUAAACCAAAGUUAAAGCUACUGGCAACCGUAUUGCAGCCAGCAACAAUGUUAAAUCAUGUGGUUUGCCUUACCGUUCCAAAUAAUUUUGUUUGCAGCGUUCACAUCAAACUGUAAGCAAACUGUACUAAAUUCGGCAGCCUAGUUAUAGUAUCUAUUUUAAUAGAAAACUAGUUUUACACUUCCAAUUUUAGGUAGGUAUAGGAUGUUAAAUGACUACCAACAAAAAUUUAGCUGUAAUCUAAUUAUAGCUCUCUAUAUACAAUAGAAGAUAAAUGAUUGUAGUAUAUCAUUCAUAAAUCAUGAAAUUUGUGCCUUCCAUUUGCACUGUGUGUUCCAUUGAGGGAUGCUGCACUGCUUACUAAAAAACUAUGUAAGUACACAUAGAUUUUGCGAUUUGUUUUUAACUUAUGGUUGCACCGUUUAAAAUUUCUAUUGUGAUUGCUCAAUUUGCUAGAUAUUUGUGUCACAGCACAAAAUAGCCUACCUUUCUCAUUGUAAUGACUGUGUUUAUCUUUAUAUUGUUAUAAUAAAUUGUUUUUGCACGAGACAUUUUAUAAUACCUACAAUAUGUUUGAUCUUUUUGAGUUUUCCACCAGUACUGAAUCCUUUGUUUGAUCUUCCUAUCAAGAUUUCC